GAUGCCCUCGAGGCCAACCUACGCUUCGUGGAGGUGCCGGACGGGUUAGUGCCACUGAGCUCCUGUGGCGCCGCGCCGGUGCCUCCACCGAACCAUAUGGCGCGUCUCGGGCUCUUCUUGGCCGCCGCUGAGGCUGGCGGCGUGAGGGUGGCGCUGGAGUCGGCUCGCGCCGCCGCGGGCGGCGCCAGGGUCACGUGCGUCGUCGGGGACGCGUUCCUCUGGAUGGCCGCCGAGGCGGCCGCUGCGGUGGGGGCGCCAUGGGUUCCGGUCUGGACCGGCGGUCCCAGCGCGCUCCUUGCGCACCUCCAAGGUGGCGCGCUGCGCGACGACAUCGGCGACAAAGCGGCGAGCCGGGCGGACGAGCUGCUCACCUCGCACCCGGGCCUCGGAAGCUACCGCGUCCGGGACCUCCCCGACGGCUGCGUCUUCGGCGAGAUGCACCUGCCGAUCGUCGCCCUCUUCCGUCGCGUCGCCGAGCAGCUGCGCGUUCCCCGCGCCGCCACCGCCGUGGCCUUGAACACCUUCCCGGGCCUCCUCCUCGACGACGUCACCGCCGCUCUCGCCGCGGAGCUCCCGGAGGUCCUCCCCAUCGGCCCCUUCCACCUCCUCCCAGUGCCCGGCGACGACAACGCCGCCGCGGCCGACCCGCACGGAUGCCUGGCCUGGCUCGACGGCCACCCGGCCCGCGCCGUCGCUUACGCCAGCUUCGGCACGGUCGUCACCGCCGUGGUCGGAGGGCAGGAGGAGCUGCGCGAGCUCGCGGCCGAGCUGGAGGCGUCGGGCGCGCCGUUCCUCUGGUCGCUGCCGAAGGAGUACUGGCCGCUGCUCCCGGCGGGGUUCCUGGACCUGGAGCGCGCCAAGGUGGUGCCCUGGGCGCCGCAGGCGGCCGUGCUGCGGCACGCGUCGGUGGGUGCCUUCGUGACGCACGCCGGGUGGGCGUCGGUGCUGGAGGGCGUGGCCGGCGGCGUGCCCAUGGCGUGCCGUCCCUUCUUCAGCGACCAGAGGAUGAACGCGCGGAUGGUGGCGCACGUCUGGGGGUUCGGCACGGUCUUUGAGCAGCCCAUGACGCGCGCGACCGUGGCGGAGGCCGUGUCGUCGCUGCUCGCCGGCGACCAAGGCACCCGGAUGCAGGAGAUGCCGGACAUGGCGGCCACCGCGUUCGCGGCCGACGGCGGCAGCAGAAAGAACCUGGAUAAGCUUCUCAAGAUAGUUUGUCCAUCAUCACAUGGUGAUCAUGUCGACGAAGCAGCAGAUGUGAUGAGAUGCGCACCGACGACACGUGAUCUGCUUGGUGCUAGCAGCCUUGUAAACACCGUGGCUGACUGA
rnacentral:rRNA from 1 species